UAUAUUACAACUAUUUUAUGAAAAAGAAACUGAUAUAUCUGUGAUAGCCAAUAAAAUAUGUGAUGAUAUAUACAACCUAACUAAUUUAGUAGUAUCUAUUGGCAUAUCUGACGAUGUCAUGUUAGCAAAACACGCUUUAAAAUAUUGUAAGAGACGUUAUAUAUUUUUUGAUUUUUAUCAUCAUUUUAAAAUAUUUAUAAGAAGGAAGUUAUGUAGUCAUCGACAAGUGAAAGGGAAUUCUGUGGAAAAAACUGAGUUAAAACAGAAGUGUAUGGGAGAAAGUGGGGAGUCAACCGGUGUCAACAGUUGCAGUAGCAACACUAACAGAAGCAAUAACGACGGUUGCAAUAACAAUAUUAUAUACGAACCUACUAGUAGUCAAAUAAACGUGGAACAAUUGUUUAAUGAGUACAUACUGUUCGAAGAAAAAAGAAGUCAUAGUUUUAUUAACCCUAAUGGUAUACCCAAUGGCAUGGAACAAACUAAUAAUGAUAUCACAAAUGAAUUAAGCUUUGAAGAUAGAUAUUUUUUAAAUGGUAUACAAGAUAAAAAAGAAGAAAAGGAAGUUGAAGUUUUGUUUGAUAAAUUCAUUAAAAUUCAUAAAGAAAAAAAACAAAUGAAAAAUAUAUUAAAUACAUAUUAUGAAGAUGUUACUCCUCAACGAGUAAGUAAAUAUUUUUAUUUUUAUAAAAAAAAUGAUUAUUAUUUAAAUAUUUUAAAUAAGCUAAAUUAUAUGGUUGGGGGUACAUUUAUUAAUUUUAAUAUAUAUUGUUAUAUGAAGUCGAGCGAUAAUAUGUUUUUGUCCAGUGUACGAGUGGGUACUGAUGUAGAUGAUAGCUCUGUCUCUGAUGAUAAGCAACAUAGUUCUAAUGGUUGGGCUACUACUAACAAAGAAAAUAACAAAGAAAAUAAUAAUUGUGCCAAUGGUAAUGUUGAUAAUGACAUAAAAGUGAUAAUGCGCACACAAAACGAAAGACAUGAAAAAAAAAGCAUAAACAUUAGUGUUAAUUAUGGUGUCCGUUUUUCAAACAUUAAUGAUUUUUACUUUUUAAUUUAUUUUAUGACUAAACAGUUGUAUAUACGAUUAAAAAUCAAACAAUGGAAAACAAAGUGCUUAUCUGUGUUUUUUUUUAUAAGAGAAGAAAAUGAGAAUAUAAACCCAACGAAAUUUUUAGGUAGGGGUAAGGUUAAUAGAAUAAGCAGUAAAAUUAAAUUAAACAGUUAUACUAACUGUUUUUUUAUAUACUUUUUUAAAAUUAUAUAUGAAUUUUCUGCACUUUCUAACAUGUUAGAGGAUUUGCGAGGUGUACAGAUUGUUUGUUCAGAUAUAGUACACGAUGAAACAUAUUGCCCUGUAGGCAAAAGAAGCAUUUUGUAUUAUUUCCGUGUGGGUGCUGACACGGACACAAACGCGAACAUAAGUGCGAACAUAAGUGCGAGCACAAAAACGAACAUAAGUGCGAGCACAAAAACGAACAUAAGUGCGAACAUAAGUGCGAACAUAAAAACACAGGGUGAGUGUGCACCUGCGGUAGGGAGUGACGAACAUGAAGAGGUAGAGCGCAAACACUUAACUUGUAAUUCACAAAACAUAAUAGUUAACAAUACGGAACAAAUAGAAAACAAACGAAGCAAAAAUAGGCUAAGUCAUUGUGGUAAACUUAAAAUAACAUCAGUUGUCAAUUAUAAAAGUAACAUAAAAAAAGUAUAUAAAAAAAGAGAAAACAAACAAAGCAUGAAAAAUAACAAAUCGUCCGUUAAUAAAAAAAAGUAUAUUAAUAAUAAUUUUAAAAAAAUAGCCAAAAUAAAUGUAGCACAAAAUUAUAAAAUAUUGCAUUUUUUCCCUAAUAUUUUGGUAAAAAGACAAAAAAAUAACACCAAAAAUGACAAUAAUGACACUGGUAAUAAUUUUCUUAGUAAAAACGAGGUAAAAACAAAUAUGUACGAUAGUAUUUUUAACUUAAAGAUAAAAAAAGAAAAACAAGUGUUUGAGGAAGAUGAAGAGAGCGAAGAAAUUAGUUAUAUUAUGAACAGUUGUUAUUUGUGUUACCAACAAAUAUGUAAUAUUACUACUGGUAUAGGUUCGUGUAGUGGUAUGGGUACUGUAUGUAACGUCGAUGCUAAUGUUACUACUGAAAACAGUGACAACAUAUCCAGUGUAUGCAAACAGAAUAGUAACAGCAGCAUAUUCUGUUAUACAUGCAUUUGCAAUAAUUUACAUACAUUUAAUAAAAAAAAU
ensembl:lncRNA